rnacentral:rRNA from 1 species
ACGGAAGGCAGCAGUAGGGAAUAUUGCACAAUGGGGGAAACCCUGAUGCAGCAACGCCACGUGUGGGAAGAAGCAUUUCGGUGUGUAAACCACUGUCGUGAAGGAAUAAGGCUUAUUUUCGGAUAAGUUGAAUGUACUUUGAAAGGAAGCAACGGCUAACUACGUGCCAGCAGCCGCGGUAAUACGUAGGUUGCAAGCGUUGUCCGGAUUUACUGGGUGUAAAGGGCGUGUAGGCGGAGCUGCAAGUCAGAUGUGAAAUCCCGGGGCUCAACCCCGGAACUGCAUUUGAAACUGUAGCCCUUGAGUAUCGGAGAGGCAAGCGGAAUUCCUAGUGUAGCGGUGAAAUGCGUAGAUAUUAGGAGGAACACCAGUGGCGAAGGCGGCUUGCUGGACGACAACUGACGCUGAGGCGCGAAAGCGUGGGGAGCAAACAGGAUUAGAUACCCUGGUA